UACGUAGGGUGCGAGCGUUUAAUCGGAAUUACUGGGCGUAAAGCGUGCGCAGGCGGUUAUGUAAGACAGGUGUGAAAUCCCCGGGCUUAACCUGGGAACUGCAUUUGUGACUGCAUAGCUAGAGUACGGUAGAGGGGGAUGGAAUUCCGCGUGUAGCAGUGAAAUGCGUAGAUAUGCGGAGGAACACCGAUGGCGAAGGCAAUCCCCCUGGACCUGUACUGACGCUCAUGCACGAAAGCGUGGGGAGCAAACAGG
rnacentral:rRNA from 1 species